rnacentral:rRNA from 1 species
GAUGAACGCUAGCUACAGGCUUAACACAUGCAAGUCGAGGGGCAGCAUGAACUUAGCUUGCUAAGUUUGAUGGCGACCGGCGCACGGGUGAGUAACACGUAUCCAACCUGCCGAUGACUCGGGGAUAGCCUUUCGAAAGAAAGAUUAAUACCCGAUGGCAUAGUUCUUCCGCAUGGUAGAACUAUUAAAGAAUUUCGGUCAUCGAUGGGGAUGCGUUCCAUUAGCUUGUGGGCGGGGUAACGGCCCACCAAGGCAGCGAUGGAUAGGGGUUCUGAGAGGAAGGUCCCCCACAUUGGAACUGAGACACGGUCCAA